CCGGAGCGCCGGAGCCGAGGCGGCGGGAACCUCAAAGCCCCGGCAUGAACCGCCGCUCCCGCAGCGCGCUGGCGGCCCCCUCCCCCGCGGUGCCGGGGCCGACCGGCGGCCAGAGGGGGCCAGGGGCGACCGAGGACACGCUGCGCCGCGCCCCGGGCCCGCCCCUACCUGCGUGGAGUGAUGAGAAACCGGAGAAAAAAGGAAGAGGAGAGACUAAAAGAACCGAAGGGCUUUUUUUCCCCCAGCCCAGACGAGGUCUCCAGCCCACUCACCAGAUACACUUAAAAUGUAAAUACAAGCUUCCAGAACAAAUGCUACAACACAAAACAGAAACACAUGUGCUGCCGGGCGGCAAGCGAACGCGCGGCGGGGCAGGAGGCGCGGGUCCCGGGGCGCCCGCGCCCCCUGCCGGCCGGCGGACCCGGCGGCGGCCCGGCCCCCGCCCUCGCCCGCGGGGCAGCCCGGCCCACCGAAGCCUGCGCUGGGCGCCACGCCGCCAGCCUUCACUCCCCGAUCCUGCGCGUUUCGCAGGCGGCGCAGCACGUCCAGCGCGUCAGAGAUUACUUUGGGGGUUAGGAGAGUGUUAGAUUGUUUUUCCUGGGCAUGUCUAGACAGGUCACCUGAGGACACUCGCUGGAAAAUAGUUACUUCGCUCACGAAUCCGCCAACAAGGGACGUGUCCUAAUUGAGUGGAAUGAAAGAUGAAUACAAUUUGAAUAAUUUUCUCCUGUGCAGAGAGAAGCUGUUAUUUUAUUUGCCUAUGGAUGUGCCCCAGUAUGUAGCAAGGUGCUGUUACACGGUAGAGUUACAUACAUAAAGGUUUGCUGUAUUAGCGAAUUAAUUUGGAAGCCAAGGAGGCACUGGAGGCUAGUUCUAAUGGAAAUUUUUCUUUUUUUUACAAAUAUUUACUGAGGCCUCAGUACAUGCAAGACACACAGUGCUAGACGCUGAGGAAACAAAGCUAGAGAACAAGAUUUGUGCCCUAGUGGAAUGCACAGUCUAACGGUAAGACAGAUAAUUCAACAAGUAAUUGCAAGCGUAAGUGAUGGGGUUCGAGACACGCUACCCCAAAUUACGCCACCUUGGCAUAUUGAAGAAACUGAAGAAGUUUUGAGGAAACAGCAGAAGCAGGAAGGUCAUUCUGACCUUCUUCCCCCAAAACAGUCAUAAAUCCCUCAGGUGAGAGGUGCCCUCCCUGUUCCAGGAGGACAGGGACAUCCUUAUCUCUGAAAACAAAGGGAAACCAAGAAGAAUCCUGAUAAACAAGGCUUGUUAAAUUGCCCCCAGUCUACUACAUGUAGCCUCAAGCUCCUUAACCUCUCCAAGUUCUCCAGACUGUCCAGGCUUCAGCAAAACUAGCAGAAAGAUACACACAUCUGUUUCUUUGGGUCUUCAUUUCCUUAUGAAGUCUCCUGUGUCAUGUAAAACUUAGGUUAAAAUAAAUUUGUAGGCUUUUCUCCUGUUAA